UCAUAAGUGGAAGAGAGAAAAGGAGAAAUUGAAUGAUCUUUGUUCAUUUUUCUUUCUAUUAUGACCCAGAAAAAGACAUAUGGAGGGAUCGGAUUGGAGGAAAAGGGCAGAGUGGAAUUUGGAACUUCCUUUCAAGUGGGAGAUGAACCAGGGCCAACGGAGGACGGCUGCCUGCUGACAGCUGCCAUUUCCACAGACUCACUGGGCCAAAGUGAUAGCCAACACUGAGAAGAAGAAUCCAGUGUCCAGAUUUUUCAAAGGGCUGCAGAAGUCUUGUUCUGCUGGAUAUAUAUUUUUAAGUUAGAGCUUGUUGAACAACAGAAGAUUAUAGGACCAGCCAGAGACUCAAGGAGAGCCAAUGGGGGUAUUAUGGUUUUGGAUUUAGCUAACCACUGACUGGAGGAACUGAGACAGCAUACAGUGGCAAAGCCUUUGACAAAUGGACAAGGGAAGAUGUUGAUGGCAACUACUGUUUACCAUGCAGAUGAAACAGAUCAACACUUUGCCCCGGAGAGCACAUGCUCAUACCACUUUAAGGACGAAUACCCUGAGAAGUGGUUGUGUGUGGAGGUAUCCAAAGCUUUCAGUCUGGCAUCACAUUUUAUAUUGUCAUUGGCUCUAUUUGAUAGAUGAAAGAACAGAUACAGAAUAUUCAAGAACCAAACCAACAUCAGGCCUCCACAGAGCCAGCACUAGUAUCCGGGUCUCCUGAGUUAUUUGCCUCACUGUCUCUUGACUUUCUUUAACAGGAUCGAUCUCCUGAAUCCAAAAUGGAUCCCAUUGAUGUCCCAAAGAAACUCUCCACUCCCAUUCUGCUGAUAACUCUGUUUCCCGCUCACUACUAAAUACUCACCUCCCUGCAGGGUAAUCAAAUGCU
rnacentral:lncRNA from 1 species